GACGAACGCUGGCGGCGUGCUUAACACAUGCAAGUCGAACGAUGAAGCUGGAGUGUGCUCCGGUGGAUUAGUGGCGAACGGGUGAGUAACACGUGAGCAAUCUGCCCAUGACUCUGGGACAACCGCGGGAAACUGUAUCUAAUACCUGAUACGAGACCUGAAGGCAUCUACGGGUAUGGAAAGAAUUUCGGUCAAGGAUGAGCUCGCGGCCUAUCAGCUUGUUGGUGAGGUAAUGGCUCACCAAGGCGACGACGGGUAGUCGGCAUGAGAGGGUGUCCGGCCAAACUGGGACUGAGAUACGGCCCAGACUCCUACGGGAGGCAGCAGUGGGGAAUAUUGCACAAUGGGCGCAAGCCUGAUGCAGCGACGCCGCGUGAGGGAUGACAGCCUUCGGGUUGUAAACCUCUUUCACCAGGGAUGAAGCGCAAGUGACGGUACCUGGAGAAGAAGCACCGGCCAACUGCGUGCCAGCCGCCGCGGUAAUAC
rnacentral:rRNA from 1 species